GCUAUCUGAGUGAUGUCUGAGUGACAUAGAUAAAAAUUAUACUAUGACGGUCCUAAUCUGUCUACAAAAACAGUGAAGUUUCAUUAAAUUGUAUUCAAUUUAUCAAAUUUAAUUGAAAUACGCAUAUUAUUUUUGUGCUUAAGCAUUACAGUUGUAGGUACGGUUUUGAAAUAUUUAUUUAUGCAUUGUUUAAGUUGCGCAACCGCAACAUGGCGAUUAUGGCUCAGCUGCUCGGAUUGUUGCAGUGAAAUUUUUCAAUGAUAGGGUUCUGCGACGACGUUACGCUCUAAUAAACUUUAAGUUGUUAUUCGUUCUUAGAGUACAGUUAGUUGUAAUCCGUCGGUUAUCACCGCGCAUUGUGAUGAGACAGUUUGUGAUUGUGUGUGGCUAAGGCGCGGGACUCGUUGAGACUACAGUGCUGUUACUUUUUGUUGAGAAGUAAGUCGGAGAGAAUCCGUCAAGCUGGAGCGAUUACCGGAGUACCUGCGUGACACCGUCGACUGGUUCAUGGGGUGAGUCGCAUGCUCGCUCGCUCUCCACUGUACGUGAGUGCGGCCCCGCGGGCGCCACGUGCAUGACUCUAUCAUGCUGGACUGCCUCUGGUAAGUCCUGUGCUGUCCGCGUCUCACUUGACCCUGACUUGUUUUCCUUUCUCAUUAACACUUUGUUCAUGAUCUUCAAAAAGUUCAUGUGCAAUCCAGUUGAAUGGCGAAGUAUUUAUAAACAAGUAAUAAUGUCCCAUAGGACCUAAAAUACAUAUUUAAAAAGCGAGAGUAUUAGAGAUAGGUCGGGAAUAACUCCUUCAAUAACUCAAUAUUUUUUCUUGAGUAAACAAAAAUAUCAAUCGGCGAAAUUAAUCGUUACUUUUUUUUAACAAACAGUCUGUUAUUAUAUUAACACACAGUCUGUUAGACUCAUGGUUAACAUAGUUGCGAAAAGGAUCGGAAGAUGAUGAUGGCUACCAUCAUAGCAAGCUAUUUAUUCGGUUGUAUUAUGAGUAACUACUGGGGUAGCGUGGCUGUCCGAUGCCCGGGCCAUGAGACAAUUUCGACUGUAUUGUGUUGAGGUGCAUUUACUAAUCCUUGAAAAAUUGUGGGCAUAUCAAUCAGAUAUGGCUGAAAAUUCUGAUUUUGGUUUUCAGGCCAACAAUCGUAAAUACCAACUUCACUACAACCAAUGUACAGAACCGAUUUUAAUUCAUUAGUGCGCCCGGUGCGAGACUCUUGAUUAUGGCCAAGGAAAAAAAUACGCGAACGAAGCGAACGUAUAUUUUUCUCGGUUCAAGAUCUGAAAAAGAAGUCGGGAAUUGAAAAGGGUCGAGGGGAGCUAGAUGCGUCUCUAGCUGAUGUAGCGCCCGUGUGCAUUCAUUACGCAGGCGACUCCUAAGUAUUGAAAGAACGUUUGUGGUACCUACAUAUCUAGAAGGGGUCCACCCUUUAUAUAUUGUUUUGAAUUGCACUCUAGGAGUAGGGCAAACAAGACUACGUGGAGUCGGUUUUGCAGCGAUUCGUUUU